rnacentral:rRNA from 1 species
AGUGUAGGCGGCUGCGUAAGUCGGAUGUGAAAGCCCCGGGCUCAACCUGGGAAUUGCAUUCGAAACUGCGUAGCUAGAGUUUGGUAGAGGUAAGUGGAAUUCAGGGUGUAGCGGUGAAAUGCGUAGAUAUCCUGAGGAACAUCAGUGGCGAAGGCGGCUUACUGGACCAAAACUGACGCUGAGGCUCGAAAGCGUGGGGAGCAAACA